ensembl:lncRNA
GAAAGAACAGAAGUAGGGUCAUAAUUUAGUGCACUAUAUAUACACACAGACGUACCCAUAUAAAUACACACACACUCACUCACAUACUCACACACUUAAUAUCAACCGCUGGCUCCAGACACUGACGGCAUCCACAUCUGGGUAGAACUGGCUCAACAUCAGCAGGUUGUGAACGCAUAUCUCACAAUGCACCAAGGAAAGCUUGUCAAGGAACUGAUGGAUUCCUUCUACAUUUCAUGAAUAAACAGUCUUAAAACCAUUUCUAGCUUGGCCUCUUUGGGAAACAUGGAUCACACAGCCCUAUUUUGCCCAUCCCAGACAUGGACGGGCCCCAAUGUUUCAACCUUCUCCUCUGAGUGGGAUGACUCUGUGAAUUCCUACCUUUUGGCACCUGAUGUGAUCAAGCCUCCCCCACAGUUCCAAGAUCCAGAAGAACCGUGCCAGUCCCCACCAGCCAGCUCCACCGUCAUUAGAAGGAAGGAUAAAGAACGCCGGAGCAGACCUGCCAGUGCCAUGGAGCCCCAUAGACGAUCACUGUCCCUUUCCACAGCCAUUACCUCCAACCCAGCUGUAACUCGCAGGAGAUGUGAAAGCUAUGCCUUGUCUUAUCCUAGCAGCAGCUCGGAGGACAGCGGCAGUGAUAGCACGUCUGUGAGGAAAGGGGACCAACUGCCUGAUGCGGUGCCUCAGUCCAAGGCCAGGAGUAUCAUUCUGCGAAAGGCUAAACGGAAACCAGCACCACCUGUACGGACAGUCUCACUGCAAAGGCUGACAGACUUGAAGCCUACAGAGCGCAGAACACAGAGCCUGUACAUCCCCAACGACAGCCAAAAUGCCAUGCUCCUUCCAGACCUUAUUCCCGUACAUAAAGCAGAGGCUGGUCAUUCAGAGCAGACCACCUAUUCUUCUGAAGCACCAGUAAGUGGAAAGGCUCCAGUGAGUCAGCCCCCCUCCAGUCACAGGCCGCUUAAAGAGCUACGGUCUAGUGAGCCAUGCAAGCCUAGCUCAGUUCCUUCUGUUGGACCUCCUAUAAAUGAAGCCACAAAGAUGGCUUACAACUCUGACCUCAACAACUCCCCAUCGUCCUCUCGUUCUUCUCCUUCUCAACCCUCCAUCUCCUCCCCCUCCAAACCAGCGGGGUCAGCCUCACCCUCCAGUGGCUACUCAAGCCAGUGUGAGACUCCCACCCAGUCAGUCUCAGUUAUAGCCGGACCCUCUUCGAUGAGCUGCAGGAUGCGCCCCAAGCCAUCCAGUGCUGUCCCUGGCCAACGGGUCAGGAACAGUCGGACUCGGUUAUCCCUGCAGUUGCCUGAAAUGCAAGAAACAAAACCCAUCCCUAAUCCAGAACCUUCCCCUGUCCACCCAGCAAAAGCAAGUCGCCGCUACUCAGACACCUCUGCCACUGCAAGACCUAAACAAAGACUGAGCAGCAGUAUGCUGAUCAUGCCGGUGGUGACUCAGGAAGACCUAAACAAGGUGCGCUUGCGUUCAGUCAGUAGUUUUGACCUGGACAACACACCUGCAAAUGUUUCUGGUGUGAUAGAGGAGGAAAGCGAAAGGGAUGGAAGCUCUGCGACUGCUCAACAGAGUCCUAAAAUCAAACCCCCUGUAGCGCCCAAACCUCCUGUGUCCAAACGGCCAUCGACUGGUGUGGCAAAGUCCAGUUUUGGCACAUCAUCUGGUGCAGAUCUGCCGCCACCCUCUACCAGUUAUGAGCAGGAUAAUAUUUAUUCAACAGUUAACAAAGUCAAGCCAAAUUCAGUUCUUCCACCCACGUCUAAUUCUUUCACUGACCAUGGGCAUCACCAGGUACUUCAGCAGCAGCAGCAGUAUGACUAUCAUAUGUCUCAACAGCAUAUGAAAGAGACCAUUGGUACACAAUCCUUAUGCAACUCUGGGGUCCCAAAUGUUCCAUCCUUAAAUACUGCCAGCCAUAAAAAAACAAGUGAACCCCAAAAGAAGAGAAGAGCACCAGGUCCUCCAGUUCCAAAAAGACGUGAUACAACAAACUUACCUUGUGAUAACACUUAUGCGAUUGAGAAUUUGGAUCAGCAACUCCACUCUCCUCCUGAUUAUUCUAAUACUGGAAACUCUCAAAAAGAAUACCAUGUCACAGUGUAUGGACUCAUUCCCACUUUCCCACAUUCUGGUGAAAGAGAACAUUUGCCUGAGUACGAGUCAUGUCAUAGAGUGACAGAGGAGGACCAAGGGCCCGACGUUGGUGUUCUGCAGUUGGGGGGUGAAGAGGAUGAGGUAUUUCUUCACAAGUCCGCAUCUCACACAACAGAGGACUUGUUCACCAUAAUUCACAGGUACGUUCCUAACAGUUACAGUACAUUACAAAAAGUAAAGUCUUGUUGUAACCCCCUUAUAUAUUAUAUUUUAUAGCUUUCUCUUCUCUUCUUCAUCACCAAUCAAUGUGACAGGUCCAAGAGGAAACUCUUGGGUCGCAAAGAUUCCUUUGACAACAAGCAGGGGGACUUGGGCACUCAGACGAUCGGUGGUGUUUCCAAGGCUAGUUCCCAGAAUGAUAACUUCAUGGCUCUCCUGAGAAGAACAAGAAGUGCCAAGGCCAGCUCCAGGAGCCGAAUCUCAGCCACAGAGCUUCUGAGGAGCUCCAAGCCUUCAGCCCCUGGGGCACCAGAGCUGACCGGCUACAAAAACCACUACACAAUGCAAUCACAUGGUCCUUGAACUUCUAUCUUUGAGUCUGUUGUCAUUGAUGUUGUCUUAGCUCAAAAUGACAUUGCCACAGUUUUGCUUGCUUAAGCUUGUGAAAUAUCUGUUGUUUAAGUAUACAGUAAUUUCACAAUUCAGACUUUGUUUUACCUUCGGAAUUAUUCUCUUUUUUUGGUAACUAAAGAAUCAGAAAUGUAAACUCAGUAAAGAGUUAUUUUCUGCAAAUUGCAUAAAAAUAAUUUCUAUGUAAAUAUGCGUACAGACAGAGUUGGUUAUAUCUUAUAUCUAUGUCUAAAUGUCAGUUAUAUUGUAUACAUUAUUAUAUUGAACAGAUUUUGUUUUGGGCCCUUAUGUUCUGGUCUGCUUUGAGUGAAAUCCACAUUGUGCCAAACGGCAUAAUAAUGCUGUAUAUUAAUGACUGUUUCCUGAACAUGUUGCUGUAGAUUUGCACACAUUCAAAGUAUUAUUGAAUUUCCAUCUAAAUGUGACAAGUAUUGACAGAUGUCUUACUUUUAGGCACAGUGCAUGUAACACAACCAAUUAGGAAUUCCAGUAAAGACAAAAAAUAUAGAUUUUCACUGCCAAAAAAAUGCCUGGUCAUUGGAAUGUGAGAGACACCUGCGGAAGAGCUUGCAUGAACAAUGGGAGGGAAUUAAUAUAAUCUUCAGGUCACUCCAACUAAAUCUGCAGUGCCAUCACACGCCUGUUGCAGCUCGACUGAAUGGAUUACAUGCGUCACAACCUGUGAAAGCACUUUACUACGCUGUUUUUCUUUUCUUUCUUUUUUUUUAACCAAAUGAAUUAUUUUUUUCUUUUACAUUUAAGAGCUUAAUGGCUUAAUGUUGGUAUGAUUUAUUAUGUAUUUUUGUUUCAAUGGACACCAACGACUGUGUGAAAUAUGUGGAGCUUAGCUGCUUUAUGGAAGGACUGUGCGGUUCUUCUGUCAACCCAUAUGGCAUGGUAAGUGCAUUGGACCAACAUAAUAUAAAUAAAAAAAUACAUAAAUAAUAGUAAUGGAUUCUG